rnacentral:rRNA from 1 species
UACGUAUGGGGCAAGCGUUAUCCGGAAUUAUUGGGCGUAAAGAGUGCGUAGGUGGUUACCUAAGCGCAAGGUUUAAACUUGAGGCUCAACCUCAUACUGCCUUGCGAACUGGGCUACUUGAGUGCUGGAGGGGAAAGCGGAAUUCCCAGUGUAGCGGUGAAAUGCGUAGAUAUUGGGAAGAACACCGGUGGCGAAGGCGGCUUUCUGGACAGUAACUGACACUGAGGCACGAAAGCGUGGGGAGCAAACAGG